rnacentral:rRNA from 1 species
GGCGUGCUAAUACUGCAAGUCGAGCGAACAGAAGGGAGCUUGCUCCCGGAUGUUAGCGGCGGACGGGUGAGUAACACGUGGGUAACCUGCCUGUAAGACUGGGAUAACUCCGGGAAACCGGAGCUAAUACCGGAUAGUUCCUUGAACCGCAUGGUUCAAGGAUGAAAGACGGUUUCGGCUGUCACUUACAGAUGGACCCGCGGCGCAUUAGCUAGUUGGUGGGGUAAUGGCUCACCAAGGCGACGAUGCGUAGCCGACCUGAGAGGGUGAUCGGCCACACUGGGACUGAGACACGGCCCAGACUCCUACGGGAGGCAGCAGUAGGGAAUCUUCCGCAAUGGACGAAAGUCUGACGGAGCAACGCCGCGUGAGUGAUGAAGGUUUUCGGAUCGUAAAGCUCUGUUGUUAGGGAAGAACAAGUGCGAGAGUAACUGCUCGCACCUUGACGGUACCUAACCAGAAAGCCACGGCUAACUACGUGCCAGCAGCCGCGGUAAUACGUAGGUGGCAAGCGUUGUCCGGAAUUAUUGGGCGUAAAGGGCUCGCAGGCGGUUUCUUAAGUCUGAUGUGAAAGCCCCCGGCUCAACCGGGGAGGGUCAUUGGAAACUGGGAAACUUGAGUGCAGAAGAGGAGAGUGGAAUUCCACGUGUAGCGGUGAAAUGCGUAGAGAUGUGGAGGAACACCAGUGGCGAAGGCGACUCUCUGGUCUGUAACUGACGCUGAGGAGCGAAAGCGUGGGGAGCGAACAGGAUUAGAUACCCUGGUAGUCCACGCCGUAAACGAUGAGUGCUAAGUGUUAGGGGGUUUCCGCCCCUUAGUGCUGCAGCUAACGCAUUAAGCACUCCGCCUGGGGAGUACGGUCGCAAGACUGAAACUCAAAGGAAUUGACGGGGGCCCGCACAAGCGGUGGAGCAUGUGGUUUAAUUCGAAGCAACGCGAAGAACCUUACCAGGUCUUGACAUCCUCUGACAACCCUAGAGAUAGGGCUUUCCCUUCGGGGACAGAGUGACAGGUGGUGCAUGGUUGUCCUCAGCUCGGGCCG